AAUGAGAAAAUAGAAAUACAUGUAUAUCUGUGAGUUUUAUAGUUUUUACCGAGUAACAACUAAAACUAAUUUUAUGAGUCAAAUUUUGUAUGACUGCAUGAACUGGAGGAUGGAAAGUAUACAAGAGAACUUCCCAUUUGUAUGGUGGAAACCUAGCUUGAUCCCUUUUUAUAAAGGAGAGCUUCUUAGUACUAUACAUCAGGUUGGAAUGGUGGAGAAAACAGUAAGCAUCCAAUGGAAGUUGAUUAAUUCUUUGUUCCUACUAUCUUGCCUUCUUGAUUUUUUUUUCGUGAAAUAGGAAUCCUAUAUUUUAAGUCCUAACAUUCUCAGGGUAAUCUCAUUCUUAACAUGUUGGAGUUGCCCUUAUCAAGAAUUAUUAAGACUUUAAUAAUAGAAUCUUAGUCAUAAGAAAUCUAGUAUCAUUUAGAAUUGACUUCUUUAUUGCUUAAUUUGAUCGAAAUUUCAGUUAUUAGUGAAAUUACAUUGCCUUAUUGGUUCUAUUUGCAGAAGAAAAGAAACUAUUCUAAGAGCUGUUGCAUAUGAGGAAUUGAGCA
rnacentral:lncRNA from 1 species